AAGAUACUAGUAAUAAAAAUUACACUGCCUUGUCAAGGCAGAGUUGUAGGUUAGACCCCUGCGUAUCUUG
rnacentral:tRNA from 1 species